AGGUUGAAUCCUAAAUUAUGGCAGUUUCCUUAAGUAGUAUCCAUUAAAGGGUCGUUAAUAUAUUCAAAGUGACCGUUUGAUGUACUACUUUAGGUAGCUCCAUUUAAAGUCGGCUAAAAUAAG
rnacentral:precursor_RNA from 15 species